GUCUGGAUGGCUCAGUGGUCAGAGUGUCUGCCUAGUAAGCAGGAUACACGGGUUCGAAUCCCGGUCCUGCACA